rnacentral:rRNA from 1 species
GAUGAACGCUAGCUACAGGCUUAACACAUGCAAGUCGAGGGGCAGCGGGAUUGAAGCUUGCUUCAAUUGCCGGCGACCGGCGCACGGGUGAGUAACGCGUAUCCAACCUUCCGUACACUCAGGGAUAGCCUUUCGAAAGAAAGAUUAAUACCUGAUGGUAUCUUAAGCACACAUGUAAUUAAGAUUAAAGAUUUAUCGGUGUACGAUGGGGAUGCGUUCCAUUAGGUAGUAGGCGGGGUAACGGCCCACCUAGCCAACGAUGGAUAGGGGUUCUGAGAGGAAGGUCCCCCACAUUGGAACUGAGACACGGUCCAAACUCCUACGGGAGGCAGCAGUGAGGAAUAUUGGUCAAUGGACGAGAGUCUGAACCAGCCAAGUAGCGUGAAGGAUGAAGGUCCUACGGAUUGUAAACUUCUUUUACCUGGGGAAUAACGGGGCNCUACGCGUAGCGCUGUGCAUGUACCGGGAGAAUAAGCAUCGGCUAAUUCCGUG